UAGAUAGAUUAUUGUAUUCAACUGUAUUCACAGCGUGAAACAGAGGGUUUCAUUGUUUUUAAAUGGAAAGUGAAUCAAUUAACAUAACAUACUCCU
rnacentral:pre_miRNA from 1 species